CCCAGCCCUCCCCACGGGCGCUGGCCAGACCCUUGGCCCUGGGGACCCAUCGCAGCACGACAGUUGGGCCUGUCACAGCCCCGAAGCCCACUUCCAAGUCUCAGGAGGCAGGUGGCAUGGGAGACUCGAAGCCCGGUGCCCCCAAAACUCAGGGCCAUUCACAGGCAGGAGCAGCUGCUAACCGAAGGCAUGGCGGCGGCGGCUCCUCAGACUCCAGCAGCAGCAGCAGCAGCAGCUCCAGUGGCUCGGACACCGAG